AGCAGAGAGGGACAGCGGUCGAGGAGCUGCGAAGAGUCAGAUGUCCAUCCGUGGAGAGGUUCACGGUCGAACGGCGCCUUGAAGAAAGAGUGACCUGGAGGAACCUUGUGCCGGCCAGCGAGUGCUGUCACACAAACACCUCUCACUGAUAAGGCCUCUACUGGGGCGCUCUGCACACAUUUCCUCUGGAUGUAUUUCUGAUGUCGUUGACCACAGCAGAGAGAGCUCCACACAGAAGGAAAAGAGGGAGGUUGAAAAAUAUCAUAUGGAUGACUUUGCUAAAUUGCAGAAGCUGUCAGUGGAUUCAGCUGAUAUAAGGAGAAGAUCUUUCAUUUCAAUAUGUUUCAUUUAAAUGUCUAUUGUAUCUGUUCCGCUCAUCAGUAUUGUGUGUGUGUGUGUGUCUAUACUCAUUCCUUAGCACACUUUUUUACCUUUAUAACCCAGAACAUUAUGAGCAUCAAAACGUCAUAUUGUCAUGUUUUUACAAAAGGUUAAACUUCAACCAAUUGUCGCUUAUGUCAACUGGUCAUGCUCCCAGCAGGCUUUGCAGUGUCAAUGGGAAAAGAUGAGUGUCACAGGGUUGAAGCUUAUGUCAAUACAUUGCAGUCAAUGGGAAAGGAAAAGCAUCAAACAAAUGACCCAUUUGUCAAUAAAUUGCAUUCAGGGGGAAAAAAUGAGUGUCAACCAAUUUACGCUUAUGCUAAUACAUUGCAAUCAAUGGUAAAA